rnacentral:lncRNA from 1 species
CCCCCCCCCCCUGCAUGCCUCCUCCCAAACUCCCAUUUCAAAAACUGUUCCAAGAUUUAGCUUUCAUAUUCCACAGCUCUAUUCCUCAUAGAGUAUCAGCUCCUUGUUCAUCUUUCUUUUACUCUUCAUAUAGUUCUUCUUCUUCUUCUUCUUCUUCUUCUUCUUCUUCUUCCUCUUCCUCUUUCUCAUCCUCUUCCCCUUCCUCUUCCUCUUUCUCAUCCUCUUCCCCUUCCUCUUCCUCUUCCGCUUUCUCAUCCUCUUCCGAUUCCUCUUCCCCUUCCUCUUUCUCUUCCUCUUCCCCUUCCUCAUCCUCACUCACUCACACACAAUUUAAUUCGUGUGGGGAAUUUCACAACAGGAUCGAGUAAAACUGGAAACGACAGCUCGCACGGCAUUUGUUCGAGUUCCAUGAUAUCACUAUUCACAUUGAAGACCGCCAUGUUGUCAAGCUGUGACGAGCGCUUCGUUCCGUUGGAGGGCUUGCUCGAGUGCUUUGAAUCAAGCUCGCCGUUUUCUGACGGUACGUCAUGGUCACCCUUGACACGUAAAUGUGUGCGUUCCUCGACCCUCGGACGGACGUUAAUACUGGGUGUCUCGCCUGCCGACGAGUUCCAACGGUUUUUGGCGUCGAGGAGCUGGCGAGAUCAAGAUGGACAGCCUGCCGAAUAAACAAGGAAGUCCUCGUGCUGCUGCCAGCAUGGUUCCAUCUAUGCGGUCAUCUUUCUCUUCACAACGCAAGCGCAAACGUUCAAGAAUGUCCUUGAGCCAUGCACCAUCAUCCAUCUCACGGGGGAGAGGUCCACUUGCAUCCCCUUCCUUGACAUGCAGUCUCAACCCGCAGAACAGCUUGUGUCGCUCACUUAUGCUCAGGUACAAGUCAUCUCCACUGAAAGGGCAAACCAAGCUUUCCACACGUACACCUGAAAUGACUCCCUUCACUCUUAUGAGCAAGAUCGUUAGAAAUGGUCCAUUCAAGUCACCUGCUGUGUUUCAAAAAUCCCCAAUAUUGUCAAUUGAACAACAAGAACCCAGGAUUCCCUCUUCAACGAAGGCUUCUCGUCACUCACACACAAAAUCCUUGACAAAGUUGAAUAUACAGCACAAGGUGAUUGUGGAUAAGGCGCUGAAACCGCGUCAACGUUGGAAACAUCAAAGCCGUGUUGACCCACAGGCUUUCGCUCAAGGUAUGAGGAGAAAACUUCUGGAAACCAUUGGUGAUUGCAUCUGGAAGGUUGUUUCACUCAGCUGCUCUUGUGCUUUUAUUACUUAUCAAUACUUCAAUAUUUUUCCUUGGCAGUUGAAUUUAUUUUAUUUUAUUUAAAUAGGAUGCCUUUCUGUGCUGUCACAACCACUACGAUUUUCAGUACUCCGCAUGGUUCACACAGUCCUCGAAACUCCUUGAAAUUCCUGCAAAAUGAAAAGCAUUUUCAAGUUCUGGAAAGUUCUCGACAGUAUGGAUUUUAUCUUUUACAUCAUUAUCAGUUCUUGAGUUAAUGAUUCUUGAGUUAAUCCCCCCAAUGUUUUUCUAUUCUAUCUGCUGCUAAUUAUGUGUCGAUGGAUUGAAAGUUGGAAAAUUGGGGAAAUUAUACCGGGGAUGAAACGUGCUAAUCUCACAAUGCAUUCCCAUCCCCCCCCCCCCAAAUCCCCUGGACAAAGGGCAAGGUCUGUCUAAUCAUACAUCCCCCCCCCC